rnacentral:rRNA from 1 species
UACAGAGGGGGCAAGCGUUGUUCGGAAUUACUGGGCGUAAAGCGUGCGCAGGCGGUUUUGUAAGCCAGAUGUGAAAUCCCCGGGCUCAACCUGGGAAUGGCAUUUGGGACUGCAAGGCUGGAGUACGGCAGAGGAGACUGGAAUUCCUGGUGUAGCAGUGAAAUGCGUAGAUAUCAGGAGGAAUACCGAUGGCGAAGGCAGGUCUCUGGGCUGAUACUGACGCUCAUGCACGAAAGCGUGGGGAGCAAACAGG